UGAGGAAUAUUGGUCAAUGGACGAGAGUCUGAACCAGCCAAGUAGCGUGCAGGAUGACGGCCCUAUGGGUUGUAAACUGCUUUUGUUUGGGAAUAAUCGACAUUACGUGUAAUGUUUUGCAUGUACCAUUCGAAUAAGGACCGGCUAAUUCCGUGCCAGCAGCCGCGGUAAUACGGAAGGUCCAGGCGUUAUCCGGAUUUAUUGGGUUUAAAGGGAGUGUAGGCGGUUGGUUAAGCGUGUUGUGAAAUGUAGAUGCUCAACAUCUGACUUGCAGCGCGAACUGGCAGACUUGAGUGCGCACAACGUAGGCGGAAUUCAUGGUGUAGCGGUGAAAUGCUUAGAUAUCAUGACGAACUCCGAUUGCGAAGGCAGCUUACGGGAGCGCAACUGACGCUAAAGCUCGAAGGUGCGGGUAUCGAACAGG
rnacentral:rRNA from 1 species